rnacentral:rRNA from 1 species
GACGAACGCUGGCGGCGUGCCUAAUACAUGCAAGUAGAACGCACAGUUUAUACCGUAGCUUGCUACACCAUAGACUGUGAGUUGCGAACGGGUGAGUAACGCGUAGGUAACCUGCCUGGUAGCGGGGGAUAACUAUUGGAAACGAUAGCUAAUACCGCAUAAUAUUAAUUAUUGCAUGAUAAUUAAUUGAAAGGUGCAAUUGCACCACUACCAGAUGGACCUGCGUUGUAUUAGCUAGUAGGUGAGGUAACGGCUCACCUAGGCGACGAUACAUAGCCGACCUGAGAGGGUGAUCGGCCACACUGGGACUGAGACACGGCCCAGACUCCUACGGGAGGCAGCAGUAGGGAAUCUUCGGCAAUGGACGAAAGUCUGACCGAGCAACGCCGCGUGAGUGAAGAAGGUUUUCGGAUCGGAAAGCUCUGUUGUAAGAGAAGAACGGGUGUGAGAGUGGAAAGUUCACACUGUGACGGUAUCUUACCAGAAAGAGACGGCUAACUACGUG